AGGAAACAAGGGGGAACUGCGGCUGGAUCACCUCCUUUAAAGAAAAGGGUCUAGACCCCACACACGCCACUCGGUAAGGAAUUGGGCCUAUAGCUCAGCUGGCUAGAGCACACGACUGAUAAUCGUGAGGUCAGUGGUUCGAGUCCACUUGGGCCCACCAAAUGGGGCUGUAGCUCAGUUGGGAGAGCACCUGCUUUGCAAGCAGGGGGUCACCGGUUCGAGACCGGUCAGCUCCACCACAGGGAAGAGGCCCGCAAGAAGCGCGGCCUGCUCUGUGGUGAAGCGGAGGAUGAGUGGUUUGGGAUUGAAUAGGUUUUGGUGGAGAGGGAUGAAUACCGCUUUAAGGAUGUUCUAGUGAAAAGUGUUAUUGAUCCCUGCCCACACGAAAGAAUGGGUGUGUUUCUUUGUUCUUUGACGAAUGAAGAGGGGAAGGCGUUGUCUUGCCUAUUGCCGAUGUCCAACCUCAUGCUGGAUGAUUGGGGAUAUAUGGAAUAAGUGAAUAAGGGCAUACGCCUUGAUGCCUUGGGGCAAAGAAGGAAUGAAGAUACCUGCAUACCUGCUCAAAGCCUCGGGAAACUGGCUUUGAUCCUGUGAUCCGCGAAUAUCCCAACGGGGCCAAACCAGCCAA
rnacentral:tRNA from 1 species